UCUGUUCUUCUUUAUUCCUUUUUUUGAAUUCCUAGACAUCGUUUGUGUUGGUAAGGACAUCAUGAUCACUUGUUCGUUUGCUGAAUCUGAUUGCUGGUAGCCUUGCUCUGUUUUAGUCAUAUCCUUGGGUUCUUUGUUUUUCUCUCUGUAAGCAGCUUGACUCAUUCUUGAGUCUGAUACUUGGUGAACACACAUAGGUUUCCAUGUCUGCCCCACCCGUUCAUAGCCCACUGAUUUUGAAACAUGAAACCUGGUUUUCUUGGUUCAUUCCACUUCAAUCUUUUCGUGCUCUGUUUUUGGAUACCUUUUCCGGUCUCUAAUACUUAUUUGUGAAGAACGGGAUGGAAAUUUAUG
rnacentral:lncRNA from 1 species